GGCGAUGUAGCUCAGUUGGUUAGAGCAUACGGCUCAUAUCCCCGGGGUUCAAGUCCCUGCAUCGCCACCA
rnacentral:tRNA from 1 species